CGCUGGCGGCAGGCUUAACACAUGCAAGUCGAGCGCCCCGCAAGGGGAGCGGCAGACGGGUGAGUAACGCGUGGGAACCUACCUGAAGGUACGGAACAACUCCGGGAAACUGGAGCUAAUACCGUAUGUGCCCGAAAGGGGAAAGAUUCAUCGCCUUCAGAUGGGCCCGCGUCAGAUUAGCUAGUUGGUGGGGUAAUGGCCCACCAAGGCGACGAUCUGUAGCUGGUCUGAGAGGAUGAUCAGCCACACUGGGACUGAGACACGGCCCAGACUCCUACGGGAGGCAGCAGUGGGGAAUAUUGGACAAUGGGCGCAUGCCUGAUCCAGCCAUGCCGCGUGAGUGAUGACGGCCUUAGGGUUGUAAAGCUCUUUCGACGGGGACGAUAAUGACGGUACCCGUAGAAGAAGCCCCGGCUAACUUCGUGCCAGCAGCCGCGGUAAUACGAAGGGGGCUAGCGUUGUUCGGAAUCACUGGGCGUAAAGCGCACGUAGGCGGAUUGUUAAGUCGGGGGUGAAAUCCUGAGGCUCAACCUCAGAACUGCCUUCGAUACUGGCAAUCUCGAGUCCGGAAGAGGUUGGUGGAACAGCUAGUGUAGAGGU
rnacentral:rRNA from 1 species